UAUGACUGAAAGGAGAAGUGCACAGGGCCCCAUGAAGGUCUCAAGGAUCCAGAUGUGGGUUGAUCUGAUAAAAGCCAGUUGGUGGUUCAAACCAUCCUCUCCCUAGCAACAAGGUUCCCGCCGUAAAGCGAGUGGCCCUGGGUGUAAGGAACGUGGUGCCGUAAAGCCGUGAGUGUCGUAAGCCAGGGGGCGGUGCGGAGAGAAGCGGAGGACGUGGCUCGAUCAUUCAGGCGGCCGCAGGAGGAGCAGACGGAUGCCCCCAGGUGUGAGCGCAGACCGCAGUCGAGCCCGCGGCGCCGUAACAGACUGCUUUGCAUUUGGCCUGUGCCAACGGCCAUGCAGAAGUGGUAACUGUCCUGGUACAGAGAAAAUGUGAGCUUAACCUCUGUGACAACCUAGAGAGGACACCCCU